AGACUUGGAACCGGGAGAGGUCAGAGGUACUCCAGGGGUAGGGGCUAAAUCCUGUAAUCCUUGGGGGACCACCAGUGGCGAAGGCGUCUGACUAGAACGGAUUCGACGGUAAGGGACGAAACCCUGGGGCGCAAACCGGAUUAGAUACCCGGGUAGUCCAGGGCGUAAACGCUGCAGGCUUGGUGUUGGGGACUCUACGAGAGUGCCCAGUGCCGGAGUGAAGAUGUUAAGCCUGCCGCUUGGGGAGUACGUCCGCAAGGAUGAAACUUAAAGGAAUUGGC
rnacentral:rRNA from 1 species